UCCCAUGAAGAGGCGGGAAUGAAUUAAUAAGAGGAGAAGACUUCAGGGAGCUUCAAUUUAAUAGCCUAAGCUCUCUCAACAAUAAUCCCUUGGGGGCCUAAAACCCUGACUAUGUGCUAAAAAUUUUGGUUGGGGUGACUUUAGAGUAUAAAUCAAAAAGAAUUUAAGCCAAGACUUGAAACUAGAUUAUAAUCCAGACACCAACCUGUCUAAAUUUUAACUCAUUAAUUGACCCAAACUAUUUGAUCAAUGGAAAAAGCUACUAUAGAGAUAACAGUGCAAACCCAGUCAAGAGGUCAUAUCCACAGUUAAGGUUUACUACCUUGAUGUUGGAUCAGGACAUCCAAAUGGAAUAAUCAAUAUUAAUGGCUCCUUUGUUCAACAAUUAAAGUCCUAUGUGAUCUGAGUUCAGACCAGAGAAAUCCAGGUUGGUUUCUAUCUAUUAAAUA
rnacentral:rRNA from 1 species